rnacentral:rRNA from 1 species
UGGGGCGGUCUCCUCCUAAAGAGUAACGGAGGAGCACGAAGGUUGGCUAAUCCUGGUCGGACAUCAGGAGGUUAGUGCAAUGGCAUAAGCCAGCUUGACUGCGAGCGUGACGGCGCGAGCAGGUGCGAAAGCAGGUCAUAGUGAUCCGGUGGUUCUGAAUGGAAGGGCCAUCGCUCAACGGAUAAAAGGUACUCCGGGGAUAACAGGCUGAUACCGCCCAAGAGUUCAUAUCGACGGCGGUGUUUGGCACCUCGAUGUCGGCUCAUCACAUCCUGGGGCUGAAGUAGGUCCCAAGGGUAUGGCUGUUCGCCAUUUAAAGUGGUACGCGAGCUGGGUUUAGAACGUCGUGAGACAGUUCGGUCCCUAUCUGCCGUGGGCGCUGGAGAACUGAGGGGGGCUGCUCCUAGUACGAGAGGACCGGAGUGGACGCAUCACUGGUGUUCGGGUUGUCAUGCCAAUGGCACUGCCCGGUAGCUAAAUGCGGAAGAGAUAAGUGCUGAAAGCAUCUAAGCACGAAACUUGCCCCGAGAUGAGUUCUCCCUGAGACUUAGAGUCUCCUGAAGGAACGUUGAAGACGACGACGUUGAUAGGCCGGGUGUGUAAGCGCAGCGAUGCGUUGAGCUAACCGGUACUAAUGAACCGUGAGGCUUAACCUUACAACGCCGAAGGUGUUU